GAGAUGAGUAUUCUAAGGCGCUUGAGAGAACUCAGGAGAAGGAACUCGGCAAAUUAACACCGUAACUUCGGGAGAAGGUGUGCCCCGGUAGGUUGUAGAGCCUCGCGCUCGAAGGCCGAUGGGGUUGCAGUGAAAUGGUGGCUGCGACUGUUUAAUAAAAACACAGCACUCUGCAAACACGAAAGUGGACGUAUAGGGUGUGACGCCUGCCCGGUGCUGGAAGAUUAAAUGAUGGGGUGCAAGCUCUUGACUGAAGUCCCAGUAAACGGCGGCCGUAACUAUAACGGUCCUAAGGUAGCGAAAUUCCUUGUCGGGUAAGUUCCGACCUGCACGAAUGGCGUAACGAUGGCCACACUGUCUCCUCCCGAGACUCAGCGAAGUUGAAAUGUUUGUGAUGAUGCAAUCUACCCGCGGCUAGACGGAAAGACCCCAUGAACCUUUACUGUAGCUUUGCAUUGGACUUUGAACCAAUCUGUGUAGGAUAGGUGGGAGGCUUUGAAGCGGGGACGCUAGUUCUCGUGGAGCCAACCUUGAAAUACCACCCUGGUUUGUUUGAGGUUCUAACCUUGGUCCGUUAUCCGGAUCGGGGACAGUGCAUGGUAGGCAGUUUGACUGGGGCGGUCUCCUCCUAAAGUGUAACGGAGGAGUUCGAAGGUACGCUAGAUACGGUCGGACAUCGUGUUGAUAGUGCAAUGGCAUAAGCGUGCUUAACUGCGAGACUGACAAGUCGAGCAGGUACGAAAGUAGGACAUAGUGAUCCGGUGGUUCUGUAUGGAAGGGCCAUCGCUCAACGGAUAAAAGGUACUCUGGGGAUAACAGGCUGAUUCCGCCCAAGAGUUCACAUCGACGGCGGAGUUUGGCACCUCGAUGUCGGCUCAUCACAUCCUGGGGCUGUAGCCGGUCCCAAGGGUAUGGCUGUUCGCCAUUUAAAGUGGUACGUGAGCUGGGUUUAAAACGUCGUGAGACAGUUUGGUCCCUAUCUGCCGUGGGCGCUGGAAAUUUGAAGGGGGCUGCUCCUAGUACGAGAGGACCGGAGUGGACGAACCUCUGGUGUACCGGUUGUCACGCCAGUGGCAUUGCCGGGUAGCUAAGUUCGGAAGAGAUAACCGCUGAAAGCAUCUAAGCGGGAAACUUGCCUUGAGAUGAGAUUUCCCAGAGCCUUGAGCUCUUUGAAGGGUCGUUCGAGACCAGGACGUUGAUAGGCUGGGUGUGGAAGUGCAGUAAUGCAUUAAGCUAACCAGUACUAAUUGCCCGUACGGCUUGUCCCU
rnacentral:rRNA from 1 species